rfam:Rattus norvegicus chromosome 9, whole genome shotgun sequence.
GGGGAUUUGGCUCAGUGGUAGAGCGCUUGCCUAGCAAUCGAAAGGCCCUGGGUUCGGUCCCCAGCUCCA